AAACCAUGAUUAGAACAUUUACUCAACAAACUCUUGUAGCAAUCUCAACAUUCAUACAUUGAUUCGUCAUCAGAUUGACGAAAAAAAAAAAGAAAUGUCAUUCCUAAGUUG